GUGCCAGCCGCCGCGGUAACACCGGCGGCUCGAGUGGUAACCGUUAUUAUUGGGUCUAAAGGGUCUGUAGCCGGCCGGAUAAGUCUCUUGAGAAAUCCAGCAGCUCAACUGUUGGGCUUUCAGGAGAUACUGUUCGGCUCGAGGCCGGGAGAGGUGAGAGGUACUUCAGGGGUAGGGGUGAAAUCUUGUAAUCCUUGAAGGACCACCAGUGGCGAAGGCGUCUCACCAGAACGGACCUGACGGCAAGGGACGAAAGCUAGGGGCACGAACCGGAUUAGAUACCCGGGUAGUCCUAGCCGUAAACGAUACUCGCUAGGUGUCGGCCACGGUGCGACCGUUGUCGGUGCCGUAGGGAAGCCGUGAAGCGA
rnacentral:rRNA from 1 species